UCUUCUUCCUUCGGUCAAUCGAAGGAAGAGUUGCAGAGGAGAGGGAAAGGGUGAAACUGUGAGGGUUUUCACCAAAAUCUCCUAAGUAGUGGUGCAGUCUGCCCCGCCACACUGUGAACUACUCAGGGAGGCUGGAAUUGACUUUGGAUUCUAGCAAAAUUCAAGUCGGGUUGUGCAUGACCCGAAUCUUCGAUUUGGUGUUUCCAAAGUUCAAAAUUCAUUAACCAGAACAUCGAAUCGUCGAGUAACUCGUUUACCUAGUCACUCUCAUUCAUGAUCAAACUCUUUCCCUAAAUUUUUCUUACGCUUUCUUUGCUAAUUUAAACCCAUGAUUUAAGAAAUUUUUAGUAUGAAUAUCAUAGAUUAACUAGGAAUAAAUUAUUUAUUAAAUUGCAACUGAUUUAAUCAGUUAAAUGUUACCCAAAAUGUGUGUGCUCUUGAUAGAUUGCGAAUCUAUUUUGGGCACUAAUUUGGAGUCCUAAAUCAAUCUAUUUAGCAAUGAAAUCUAUAGGUAUGCGUAGCAGAAAUCCUUAACUUUCAUAUGUAUGUUUUAGGAAAUAGGCUUGUGAUCAUGCGAAAACAUUUUCUAAGUGAAUAAAAUUGCUGGGGAAGGCUUAGGAAA